CAUAUUUCUCUGCUUUACCUCCGGUUCCGGUUACCAUCAUCAUUCUCAGAUUUCUCUCUGAAUCCAAUUAUCAUCAUCGUUAAUCAAAGAUUGUGCAAUUUAAUGAGCUCAAAGUCAGUUGGUUAGAAGGAAGGCUUCCAAAACAAACUUAUUUUCAGAUCAUUUAUAAUCCAAAGGGUUGAUUUCACAAUGGUUCCAUCUUCUGUGUAAAAAUCUUCUUCUGCCAUUUUUCAUUUUAUUUUGUUCUUUUUCCAUUGAAAGAUCAAGAUUUUUCACUAUAAUGGGUCAUUGUACUUCAAGCAGAUGUUUGACAAGUUAUACCAGGCUGAUUGGAAACCAGAGUCACCAAGUAAGUUUGGUGACAUGACUGAACUAAUCAAGUCUCUAGACUCGAUAAAACUUGAAGAUAAAAAACCAUCAGGUUCUUUACCAUGCUUAUUCUAAUAUUUCUUUUAUGCCAGAUUUCCAGUAGCAAAAUUGAUUCUUUGUUAGAUUAAAAAAUGUCCUGCUGAAGUUAAUUUAGGAAAAAAAAAAGGAAGAUAUGCUUUUCCUACAAAUAUCAAACAACCCCUUUCAUAAAACUACCCAUCUCUUAAUUCUGUUACUUCCCUAUAUCAGUUUGGUUCUGUAAUUUUUAUAAUGCGUUCUCUCAUCUGAUCCUUUUUGUGAAAGGAUGAAUUUCAUGAAGGAUUGGUUUUCAGGCCGCAAAUAUAGCAGUAUGCUGCUAACUCUGUUAUCCUUUUUGGUCGGGAAGAGCAUUGCAGAAUAAGGAGAUAUUUUCUCUGAUAUUUGUAUUGUCAUCUUGAAUUUUACAAUGAAAGUGUUGGAUUGGGGUGAGGAUGGUGCUGCCACCGCUGCGGAAACUGCCGCUUUACGUGCAUCCUUUAGGCAGGAGGUUGCCGUCUGGUACAAACUCGACCAUCCAAAUGCCACGAAAUUUGUUGGAGCUUCAAUGGGAACUUCAAAUCUUAAGAUUCCUACAAAAAACUCUUCAACCAACAAUCAAGGGAGCCUUCCUUCUAGGGCAUGUUGCGUCAUUGUCAAAUUUCUUCCUGGUGGAACACUAAAGCAAUACUUUAUAAGAAAUAGGUGGAAGAAACUUGCGUAUAGGAUUGUGGUUCAGUUCGCUUUGGACCUUUCCAGAGGGUAAGUCUCCGUUUUUACUAUCCCUACAAUUUAGAAACUGCAAAUCUUAUACUGAUAUGAUGAAUACUAAUAACAGUCAUUUUUUGCUACCAUCUUGAUUCAUAAAUAUAAGAGACUGCUACCCAAUUAUAUCCCUACAAGAUGAUAUAAUGAGAGAACGUAAAGUGACUGCUAUUUAUUUUUCAUCUUUUUACUAGAGGAAUAAACAUCCAAGCAGUUAAUGUUGUUAUUAACUUUGAUUUUCCAAAGAACUCAGAAACUUAUUUGCACAGGGUUGGUUGGUCAGGGAGGUUUGAUGAUGUGUCUUAAUUUCAUUAUUAUAAUUAACUUCCUGGUGUUUACAGAUAACACCAAUUCCAUUCUAUCAUUUGAACUAUGUCACCAUUUGAUAUUUGAGAAUCAAAAUCCACAAUUGGUUACCUUUAAAAUCUUUAUUGUUGUUGCUUCAUAAAUAAGCAACUUAUGUAUUUGAUUUGGAGUAUUAUUGUGCAGUCUUGCUCUUCAUUGACAUUGUUUUGUUAUGGCCAAUAAAGAAAAAGUAACAAAGGAUCAGCAGUAUAUUUAGUCUUGACACUGUAUUCAUAUCAUAGUCUCUUAUUGUUUGAGAUAACUUAAUAUAAACCAAAGGCAUACAUCAGUUAAAUUA